GGAGACGGAUGCCGCCGGUGUUAGCGGUUUUCUCUCCUUCGUCGUCUAGGGAGUCCGCUCACGCUCUUUUGUGCUACCUAUAUGAGCGUUUCACUUCCUUCUCGAGAGCCGGAUAGCUCUGACGGGCUACGGCUUUGGGUCCUCGUGUUUUUGCUCACUCUAUCGCGCCUUUGUUUUGCGUUCCUUCGUUUCUCUAUCUUCCUAUCGGUGAUCCUAUACUUUCUCUGGGUGCGUAGCUCACCCAAAUUACCCAAGUAACCAGUAAGCAUUUAAAAUAGCAUUCCUUCAGCAUUAUAGUAGCCUUUACGACAAGGCGUUUAAUGCUAAUUAGCCAUAUAUGCGCCUAUAGUGCUACCUCACGGCAGGCUUUGGCAAAAUAGCGGGCUGUCUUAGUGCUAUCCCUUCAGGAACGUCGUGACAAAAUGUCAAAGAAGCGUAACGCCUCGUCGAGCAAGAAAAAAACAAAAAUAGAUUGACGUCUGCUUCUCGUUCUCUCAGCCUGCUUCCCCGCUUCAUCGUCCUUCCAUAUUCCAGCCGGUGCUAGGUGGUACUUUUUUGCUGAAUUUUGUAGUGAUGUAGGUUUGAACUUACGAUCCGGAGAUUGAUUAAUCAUAUCUGCUUCGGAUUCUGUUGCUCCUGAUCCACAAUGCUAAAGCUGUCCCGGUGGCGUGCGUUGAUUUAAUCGCCAAUAUAAAGAAUGAUUCGAUAACAGCUUCAGAUUCAACAUCCAAAACUUGUAUUUCAUUGUGGUAGAGCAUUACAAUCCCUUCUUUUAAAUAUCUGUGGAAUAUGAUUGUUUCUUCCCUCUUUCAAACAAUCCUAUGAUCCACCAAAGCAUCCACCUAUUCGGCACAUAUUUUCCGACGAAAUGAUAAAUAAUUGGAAUGAUUUUUUGAUGGACAAGUUCUCAAUCCAAUCCAGCUGCAGUAAUGUUUUCUUUGGUGCUUUUGGAUGAGUAGGGGAAAAUGAAGAAACAAAUAAGAUGCACACAUUUGUAAACAGAAGCAUAGGCUCUGUAAGAGAGAGACAAAAUGUGUUGCCAAAUGCGUAACAUAUCUCCCAACCUUUUCGCUCCUAGCAUUUAAAGAGCAGUUGAAAAGCAUUCUGUAUGCUCCCAAGUGAAACCACUUCAUGCAGUUGAAAUGCUAAUUAACAGCCGAAAGCUUUUGAGCAGCACAGCUUAUGCUAACUCAAGGCAGAUAUGCAUUCGAACUGCUUUUGUAGGGCAGCAAGCAGUUUAAAUGCGUAAUACGGGCUGAUACACGGCUUAUUCAAAUGCUUAGUGGUGUAACGUUUGACGUUUUUUGUCUUUUUAAGCAAAAUAUUAUUUUGAAUUUUAUUGAUGUAAUUAUAGCUUUUGACGUUUUUAUCUUUUUUAAGUAAAAUAAUAAACUGAAUUAAAAUGAAUAAACUGAAUUAGAGUAAUGUUAUUAUAAAUCGAUUAGGACGAAACGUUAAGUAGAGUCAAAAUGACGUCAUCAGUACGACAACAUUUGAAUUUGCUCAUGUCGACUGCGGGUUUGUGCAUUGACUAAGAUCGUGCUAUAAACUGUUAUCCAAUAUGAAUUGGGCAUGAACCCGACUAUAAUGGUUUAUGUACUCGGUUUUUGUCGGCUCACCGAUGGUGUGAACUCAAUGUCGCCAUCCUAAAAUUGCUUGGCGCAAUAUUCGAAAUAAUAGAUUUGAGUUCAAGAUGAAGUUACAUGCUUGCCAUAGAUCUUAAGCUCGAUCAUUAUCGCUCAAGUACGGCUGGUGGAUAGAAGUAUCGCGAGAGUUCGAAGUAUAGUGAGUUAAAUUUGAAGUUUUUGAAGUUUGAAGAUUAAAUAGUGGUUUUUAGACAAAGUUUUUCGUUGCCAACGUCAGUAUAUCUGACCAAUUCCGCGAAAUUUCUAUUAGUGAAUUCGUUGAAACGUAUAGAAAGGUAAUUUGUAGUAAAUUGUGUUUUAGAUUGAUAUAGAUAAUUAAUUUGUGAUUUCGCGUUGGACUUUACAGCGCCAAGCGCUUUUUGGUACGGGCUGGAGUUUUGUGGAUUCGACCGGAGUCGGAUCGGGGAAUCUUUUGUGGCGAAACCAGGGCCCGCCAUUUCCGUCCGUGGAGCACGGACAUUUUGGAGCUCGUGCACUCGUCAAGGCCCGCCUUUCGGAGGCAGUCAAACGAGGGUGAGUGAAGUCGCUAGUCAAAUCAAGCGAAAACUACCGCGGUCGCCAAUCAACCGCCGGUGAAGAUCCGACAAGCUACAAUCCCCUGGAUCUUUCGAUCGAGAACGCGAUCCCCGUACACCGCCAAUUAGUGUACGCAGGAUCGAGACCUGAAUCGACGGUUGGAAGUUCCCUUGACUCCGCUCGGUCAUAGCGGAAAGGUACGCGAAGCCGGGUCGAUUGGGAAAAGGGGCUUCCCUCUGAAGAGGAAGGCGAAUCCGGACGUUCUCGUCCUACACAAAGUCGGAAGGCCUCCGCCCAGCCGCCACUCACCCCCGCAGCUUUAGUUUCGGCCAUACCGCACGAGCUCGACCUCCAUCGCUGCCGCCAAUCAGCAGCGCCAGCGGCAUCGUUACAACGCCGCCAUCG